UACGAAGGGGGCUAGCGUUGUUCGGAAUCACUGGGCGUAAAGGGCGCGUAGGCGGCCGAUCAAGUCGGGGGUGAAAGCCUGUGGCUUAACCACAGAAUGGCCUUCGAUACUGUUUGGCUUGAGACCGGAAGAGGUUAGUGGAACUGCGAGUAUAGAGGUGAAAUUCGUAGAUAUUCGCAAGAACACCAGUGGCGAAGGCGGCUGACUGGUCCGGUUCUGACGCUGAGGCGCGAAAGCGUGGGGAGCAAACAGG
rnacentral:rRNA from 1 species